CUAUCGGAUCGUUUUAGAAACAUCAGUGGCCAACAGAUCGCCAGAUCGUUGAGCUGCAUUGGCGGGAUUUCGCCGUCUUCGUUUCUCUUUCUUCGCGGACGAACACGCGCCGGGGCUGCGCUGUGCGAUUGCAUUCGGCGCUGGUCGCCGGUUGCUUGCACGCAAGACCCUAGUCCUGAUGAGGAUAGCGUUAGGGGCUUGUAGCUCAGUUGGUUAGAGCGCGCGCUUGAUAAGCGUGAGGUCGGAAGUUCAAGUCUUCCCAGGCCCACCACUUUCAUCGAGUGAGCAUUCGUCUUCUGGUUACGGGGCCAUAGCUCAGCUGGGAGAGCGCGUGCUUUGCAAGCAUGAGGUCGUCGGUUCGAUCCCGUCUGGCUCCACCAGAUGGUUUGAUCGCCGAGAUCUUGACCGUCGUCCGCGAAACAUCACUUCGCAUUCACUAGUCUGGAUAGACAGUGAACUGCGUGUUUUCUGACAUCGUAAAGAGGAGAUCGAUCCGAGUUGGGUCGUGCAGCAUAUCGUUGCGCGGGCCAUCAUUAUCUCCGGAUCAUUUCGGCGCUCGCUUUCAGCUGUGAGGUUGAAUGCGGGUUGUAAAUGAUCCUUUUAGCGAAGCUUGACCGCCUCGCUAUCGGAACGAUCUUACGAAGCAAGCUGGUCUUUCUAGUCAAUGUCCGGCUGCAGAUAGCGUCCAUCGAGGGCGCGUGCCGCAAGGCAGUUCUGCAGACAACAUUCUGCCGAGUGUGUGGACAUUGAUAAUGAGAGCAAUCAAGUGCCUUAAGGGUGUUCGGUGGAUGCCUUGGCGCUGAGAGGCGAUGAAGGACGUGCUACGCUGCGAUAAGCCGUGGGGAGCUGCGAAGAAGCUUUGAUCCGCGGAUUUC
rnacentral:misc_RNA from 1 species